UACAAUCUUUGAUUAAAACCUUUAAAACUGUUUCACCAGCUUAUCAAAGAUUAUCAAGAAUUAAAUGAAGCACAUAGGGAUAACAGAAACCUGUAAAUAGGUAUAAAGAAAAAACAGAUUCCAACACAUUUCGAUACAGUGUAACAGCUAUGAGAAGCGAGAUGAAAAACACAAUAAGCCAGUAAACGUUUACACAUGCCCAAAAGGAGCAGGCGCAACCAAAUUAACUUGAAAAAUAAGGACAAACUGUUGAAGAAUAUAGUGUCGUUAAACACACCUGCAUCUGAGCCGAGAAAAUUUUACCAGGUUGGAUUCUGAAAUUUUUGGAAACAUAAGCACAAGAAUUACAGACUUACGUUAUCCAAAAAUUACAUUAUUUAACAGGACAUCAUUUUUUUUCCCGAUGAAAUGAACAUAUUGCCAUGUAAUAAGGAUUAUGCCAAGUACCUGAUCAUGCAGUGCUUCUCGUACAUGAGAUACCAAGGCUAUCCUACUUGCUUCAAAUACUUUAAAUUCCGAGACACUGUUCAAAACAUUUUCCUCUCCUUUAAUUCUUUGGACAAAGUUUUGUUGCUUAGGAUCCUUUGUGGAUAACAGGAAACCAAAGGGGGGGGCGGCUUAAAACACUCGAAUAUGGCGGAUAUCCACAGUAUGAGCAUAAAAAAUUGAGAGAAAACACCAAUAAAUGAAAGCACCAAUAGAAGGUUUUUUUUUAUGAACCAAUAGAUGGAUGGUACAGCAUGGUAAUGUUGAACACAAGCAUUGAUAGCCUACCUCUGCUACAGGAUGAUAACAUCUUCCUCCAUUUCCUUACAUGUGGUGUGGAUAGCUGACUUGCAUUUAUCCAUUCUCGUCAUUCUCACUUGAGCGUUCACCGCAGUACCGAGUGAUAGCAGAAACUAUGUUCUCUGAUGUGCUCCAAUGGUCAAUUUCUGGUUUCAAAAGGCAAUUACAUGAUUGACGUAUAUAAUAAAUGCUCAUGCAAAUGGAAGCAAAUGGUUUGGUAAAUUAGAAAUCCUAUAGAUAAAUGACUGAAACUUUAAAGAUUAUAGAAAAAAAAGGAGGUAUGAGAAUCCUGGCUAUCACCGUUCUAAUGCUGCGUGGGAAUCUCUUUUCAAUGUUUGGACAGAACGGGUGUUCCAAAUGGGAACGUUUUACUGGAACUCCAAGGGUGGAGGUAAUUCUUCUCAAGCAUAAUCUUUAGACUGUGCACGGGAUCUAAAAAACUCUCCUUUCUUCCCAUAUACCACCUAUCAAUUAUUAACACUAGUUUAUUAGAUCUAGCCAAUUAAAACGUCAAGAAACUAGACCAAACUUCCAAGCAAACAUAGGGUGCAUACCAACUGGAAGCCACAAUCUUUCCAUAUUCAUCACCUUUCUCCGUGAAUCUUGAUGCUGCUGGAAGAACUUCCAAAAUUCACUAAUAAUCAUUUCCUUUACGCUUGCUAUUCUGUAGGAUGUCAUUUGUAAGUACAGAAGGACGAACUUUAUGAACCAUUGUGAGCUGAUGGAACUGCUUAUCCCAUGUCUGCAACAACCAAGCUCGCUUGCUAUGGUGAAAAAUUUACACCAAUGUGACAGCGCUAACCGUGAAAGUCAAGAACAAACUACGAGUGAAAAUUGAAAAUAGGGAGUGCAUUUAUUCCAGAUGAUUAGUAUCUAAUAUUGUUUUUCUAAAUGUUCAUAAUAAUAAACAUCCUCAAACAUUAAACAUAAAAGGUUGAGCCUCCAACAAGCCAAGUUAUUGACAACUACCACUCACCUUCACUUUCCUAAUGUUAUUAAUCUGAAAAAGAAACAAAUUGGGCAAUGCUCAUGUGCAGUCAGAGAGAAACCUUAUUAGUGCUGGCUUGUACCGAGCAGGAAAGUUUGGCAUCGCAAUAAAGAGAUAUAUUUGAUAGAAUCUCGACAAAGAACAAAAAAAUUGGCGUGUAAAAGUGACAAUUACUAGUAUAACAUAACAGCAAUCCUUCCACUCAGCUGGAAUGAAUAGCCAAACAUGGAGGCUCGAAGAAACAGAAAUUAAGCAGAUUUGGAACAAUUCAAAGGAUGCACAUCAACAACAAACAAAAUCAACAAAUCUUUCCACUUUAUGUUAACACAAAAAAGAACCUUCAACGCACCAGGUAGAUUAUAAAUCACAAACAGUAGCUUCCCAACAACACAAAACAAGUCACCCUUAAUGACAACAAAAUUGUAAAAAAAAUUUAUACUCAUGAUCGCAUAAUGACAAUCCUGCCAUCUAUUUGAAUUAUAUGAAGAAGGUAGUAUAUACCAAAGCUGCAAGAGCUAGAUUUCAAGUACUUUCCUAAAGAAUUUAAAAAAGCAUGCCCAUCAACAAAAAAACAGAAUCAUUAAAAACAAACAAAUUGAAAAAGAAAAUAGUGAAUCACAGUAUACUUUCUAUACACUGUUGAGUGUUGUUGAGCUUUGGAAAAGCUUUUCGGCUAGUAUCUGCUCGCUGAAAACCUAUUCAUCUCUAGUCAACACCAAAAAAAAUAGAAAAUCCAAACACUCAAAACCCAAAACCCUAGGCGAAGUGAUAAUAAUUUUCAUGUCAAAAACCCUACUUGCUACUGAAGAACGAGACGGUUAUGUAUAAAAUUUGAGCAAUUGCUGAAUUGCUUGGCGUAGAACCUAGAGAACAAACGCAAAUCAAAUCGGGACAGGUGGCGAAACACCAUAGACAGAAGAUUUGAAUGAGGUAAAUCGCGGGACUUAAUCAGCAUGAAACGAGUGAGAGACAGUCUGUAAACCUGGGUAACGUUUUUUAUUCGCUUUCGGGUGUUGGCAGAAGAAGACAGCCGAGAAACUAUAUCGCAUAUGAUAUAGUUUUCCAAAAUGGAAUAAUAUUGGGUAAUACCACCUCUGUACUUUAUGCUCAUUUUUACUUUACACCACUUUUUUUUUUAAUUGGUAUAUCGAUCCUCACACUUAUAUCAAAUAGCAUGUAAUCCUCCGUCCCGCUUUGCCCAUUGACAAGAGAAAUGAUGGAAAAGACCAUGUGUCACUUUUUCUCGGGAAUAUUUUGCUUUGCACCUCUAACAACUUUCAGCCCGAGUCACUUUGUCAACAAAAACCCUUUACUUUUAUUUGGGACAGUCGAUCCUAGUCACUUUAAGAAGUCAAACAAGGAAUACGUCCCACACCCCAGUCCCAUUUUCGUUUGAAAUGUGAACGAAAAAUAUUAUUAUCAUUUACAGGGCAUCAUAGAGAUUUUCUCUCAACAAAUUUCACUUUGAUGUCUUCCUGUCUCUUGAUGGUGCUUAUAUAAUAACAAUGGUGUUGUCCACUUGCCAAAAAACAACUUUUCCACCAAGUCCUGAAAAGGGGCGGAUGGAUGGGAGACUCUACUAUGGUGGAAUGUGGUAGCAUUGUUAUUUUGAGUAAUAUGUUGAUUGUUUAGAUAUCUAGAAGCAUUCCCAUGGUCAGAACUGUACUGGCAUACCAAGGGCAACAAUGAAGACCGAGUAGUUUUUUGAGUUAACAAGGGCGUGAUAUUUAAAAACCUCAAUACUAGGCCUAGCUGUUAAAAUUUUAGCUUUGUCCACAACCUAUAGGAGUAAUCGCUUAGGAAUGCAUAUCUAGAAGUAGGAGCCUCCCCAAAUCACAUGCGAGUGGGCACGUCAAAUCAUUAGAGUUUGCACGAUAAUGAAGGUAAAACAAACGCAAAAUACCUCAUAGUUAAUGGAACCACAUUUCUUUGUAUCGAGUCGAAUACGAGUUUACGCCGUCAUUACUGGUGCUUCCGUUGCAGAUAGUAGGUUGGUCCUACUUAUUUAUUCAAUCCAGUGGCAAACCUCAGUCUAAACAUUGAGAAGAUAAAACUACGAACCAUUUUACUAAACACAUUCAGAUAACAGUUUAAAUACUAACAUUCAGUCCAAUAAAGUUGGACCUCUGGCUAGAGAAGAAGAAGAAGAACCAUAGUUUCUGUUGGUCCGUCACAGAAAAAUCUCAGUUGUGCGUUCUAACCCUCAACUUAAAAAUAGCCUCACCCAAAGCAUCUUGCAAAACCCAAAUUUGAUCACCCAACCUGCUCCUCUGGUCCCUCUUGCCUGGAACAGUGUUCCUUCUGAACAUCUACACCUGCAAACCUGCAAGACGCAUCAUAUGAUAUUUUCAUACCAUAUAAUGUUUUACAUACUGACAAUCCAUGAGAAAUCCAAUAGCAGCUGGUUUAAGUAGCCUAAUCUAAUCCCUACUGCUUGGUGCUUUUUCCAUGCGCCUUCAGCUUUGCUGCAACUUGUUUUUUUUUGUUCAUCAGACAAAGGCAAGUAGUAGAUUCGAGGAGUCGCUUUGGUUUUCUGAAGAGAUCGUCCAGAGUGACAAUGGGAGGGGUCCACUUUCUUGGGUAGUGGAGGCGGUGGUGGAAGAGGAAGCAUUUCCCUCGCCUGAGGAGGAUUGGACAGAGGUGGC
rnacentral:lncRNA from 1 species